UAAUAAUAGUUUAUCAUCUGUCGCAGACUGUUCCUUGGAACCAGUCGGAGUAGACAACACGCUACAGAGGAUCCCCGCCACUCAGCUGUCUGCCUCCUCCGCCGUUUCGGGAGGGGAGCCGACCCGCGGGAGGCUGAACUACAAGGCUGUGUCCGGAGGGGAGGGUGCCUGGGUACCGGAGAAACAAGACAGAGAGCAGUGGUUACAGGUAAGGGUCCUGGGUACCGGAGAAACAGGACAGGGAGCAGUGGUUACAGGUAUGGGUGCCGGAGAAAUGGGACAAGGAGCAGUGGUUACAGGUAAGGGGCCUGGGUACCGGAGAAACAGGACAAGGAGCAGUGGUUACAGGUAAGGGGCCUGGGUACCGGAGAAACAAGACAAGGAGCAGUGGUUACAGGUAAGGGGCCUGGGUACCGGAGAAACAGGACAGGGAGCAGUGGUUACAGGUAAGGGGCCUGGGUACUGGAGAAACAGGACAGGGAGCAGUGGUUACAGGUAUGGGUACCGGUACCGGAGAAACAGGACAGGGAGCAGUGGUUACAGGUAAGGGGCCUGGGUACCGGAGAAACAGGACAGGGAGCAGUGGUUACAGGUAAGGGGCCUGGGUACCGGAGAAACAGGACAAGGAACAGUGGUUACAGGUAAGGGGCCUGGGUACCGGAGAAACAAGACAGGGAGCAGUGGUUACAGGUAAGGGGCCUGGGUACCGGAGAGACAGGACAGGGAGCAGUGGUUACAGGUAAGGGGCCUGGGUACCGGAGAAACAGGACAGGGAGCAGUGGUUACAGGUAAGGGGCCUGGGUACCGGACAAACAGGACAGGGAGCAGUGGUUACAGGUAUGGGGCCUGGGUACCGGAGAAACAGGACAGGGAGCAGUGGUUACAGGUAAGGGGCCUGGGUACCGGAGAAACAGGACAGGGAGCAGUGGUUACAGGUAUGGGGCCUGGGUACCGGAGAAACAGGACAGGGAGCAGUGGUUACAGGUAAGGGGCCUGGUACCGGAGAAACAGGACAGGGAGCAGUGGUUACAGGUUGACCUAGGCAAAGAGCUGGUGGUAGGCGGGGUGGUGACGCAGGGGUCGGGUGACGAGGUGACCCCGAGUUUCGUGCGGACCUUUCAGCUGUCGUACAGCAUGACGGGAGAGUACUGGAUCACGUACUCCAACAGUACCGCACCGCAGAAGUUGUUCCCCGGUAACACGGACGAGCUGUCCCCGGUACAGACCAGGUUGGACAGCCCGGUCCGGGCGCGCUACGUCCGGGUGUGUCCGCACGAGUGAGAGCGGCAGAUCGCGCUCACACUGGAGGUCCUGUACUGCACCAACGAGACGUGAUGGCUCAUCGUCUAGUUCACUUUGACUUUAAAUCUAUGGUUGAUGGUUUUAAAGAUUACUUGACAGAACACAUAAACGUAAAAAUCGUUUUUUUGUCGGUGAAAUAUGUUGCACAAAACGUUCAGUAUUUGUCGCUCAGCAAUUUCGGCCUCUAAGGGUUGAUGAGAUCAAAUUUAGUAAGAAUGUGUUUGAUGACUUCAGUGAGCUUAUUGAAUUUCGUCUUUCGGGUUUGAAAAACAAAACAAAAACAAGGAAUUUCC